GCCCCGCAGUGCUGUGACUGUAUUUCAUGCCUUACUAGUGGUAUCUGGACCUGUUUCUGUGUGUGUACCUUGGAAGACCGAAAGCUGUUGGAUUUCGUGAAUUGAAGAUGCCUACAAGAAAUAUAUCUUAGAGCUGUCAUCUAGCAUGAUCUGUAAAGGUGUUGAAGACGCUGUACAUCAGGCAAGAGUGUGAUUGUUCAACAGACAUGUCACAGGGAUGAUGAACGAUAUCAAUAAAAAAUAAAAAAUAGAA